rnacentral:rRNA from 1 species
GACAGAGGGUGCAAACGUUGUUCGGAAUUACUGGGCGUAAAGCGCGUGUAGGCGGCUAAGUAAGUCGGGCGUGAAAUCCCACGGCUCAACCGUGGAAGUGCACUCGAAACUGCAUAGCUAGAGUCCUGGAGAGGAAGGUGGAAUGCUUGGUGUAGAGGUGAAAUUCGUAGAUAUCAAGCGGAACACCGGUGGCGAAGGCGGCUACCUGGACCGGUUCUGACGCUGAUGCGCGAAAGCGUGGGUAGCAAACAGG